UACGUAGGGUGCAAGCGUUAAUCGGAAUUACUGGGCGUAAAGCGUGCGCAGGCGGUUUUGUAAGUCUGAUGUGAAAUCCCCGGGCUCAACCUGGGAAUUGCAUUGGAGACUGCAAGGCUAGAAUCUGGCAGAGGGGGGUAGAAUUCCACGUGUAGCAGUGAAAUGCGUAGAGAUGUGGAGGAACACCGAUGGCGAAGGCAGCCUCCUGGGAUGACACUGACGCUCAUACACGAAAGCGUGGGGAGCAAACAGG
rnacentral:rRNA from 1 species